UACGUAAGGUCCGAGCGUUGUCCGGAAUCAUUGGGCGUAAAGGGUACGUAGGCGGGUAAGCAAGUUAGAAGUGAAAUCCUGUAGCUCAACUACAGUAAGCUUUUAAAACUGCUCAUCUUGAGAUAUGGAAGGGAAAGUGGAAUUCCUAGUGUAGCGGUGAAAUGCGCAGAUAUUAGGAGGAAUGCCGGUGGCGAAGGCGACUUUCUGGCCAUAAUCUGACGCUGAGGUACGAAAGCGUGGGUAGCAAACAGG
rnacentral:rRNA from 1 species